CAAUAGCGUAUAUUUAAGUUGUUGCAGUUAAAAAGCUCGUAGUUGGAUUUCGGGUGGGACGCAGCGGUCUCGCAUUGCGUUUGUACUGCUGCAGCCCUCCUUCUUGCCGGGGGCGGCCUCUCGGACUUCACUGUCUGGGGGUCAGAAUCGGCGAUGUUACUUUGAGUAAAUUAGAGUGUUCAAAGCAAGCUUACGCUCUGAAUAUAAUAGCAUGGGAUAACACGACAGGACUCUGGCCUAUCGUGUUGGUCUAUAGGACCAGAGUAAUGAUUAAGAGGGACAGUCGGGGGCAUUCGUAUUCCGUUGUCAGAGGUGAAAUUCUUGGAUUUACGGAAGACGAACAUCUGCGAAAGCAUUUGUCAAGGAUGUUUNCAUUAA
rnacentral:rRNA from 1 species